UCAAACUCCAAACCAUCAUGCAACCAAAGCCUUUGUCUAUGGCUCCUUUUGCCAGAAACCCUUAGAAUAAAUUGGAUCAACUCAUUUUUGGGAAAAAGCUCCAAGAAAAAUUUUCACAGAAUGAAGAAGACUUGGUCUGCUACUGAUUGUGUGAAGGGAAGCUGCCUACUGACAGAGAAUGCUGCACUAGAACCAAAGGAAAAACUUCAAUUGUAUGAAGUCUAUAAAGUGUUUGGAUGUUUUUGUUACUCUAACUGAUGCAGAGGUUUUUUUUAAACAUAGGUUUAAUUUAUUCAUGUUUAAUUUACUCCAUUUUUAUCUUUCAGACUUGAUGUUUUUGCUUUGAAAAACGUUUUAAAUUUGGCUCAAUGCUUCAGUUCAUGUAUGGCAAAUGGGAAUGAUAUAGUCACUUUCAAACUGGUAGAUAAAGAACCCUCUGUUUUUUUUACCUCACUAGAAGAUCCAGCAUUUGAAGGGCUAGAAUAAAACCCUUCUUCCAUGACUAAUAGUAUUGGAUCAAGGGAACUCAAGUAAGCCAAAUUGCUAGUAAUUUCAUUAAUCAUGGCAGGUUUUCUUUUGAAAUGUCUUCAUUUUCUUUAAAUAUAAGAGCAAAGUAGAAAGUUUUUUUUUUUAAAUGAUCUGAUGAGCAAAAUAAGGAAUAUAUAUCGGUAUGUAGAACAAAACAAAAGUGUUUCAGUUGGUUUGCCAACUUCAAGUUUCAACAUGGUCUCCAGAUGAAAGGACAGACCAUGAGUAAGAAGAUUAAAAUGUGUGCUCAUUAAAUGGUUCUAUAUAUCAAGAGUGAUUAUUGCUAAAGAAAUAGAAUGGAUACCCACAGGGAAAUCUUUAUUUUUGGAGUGCUGUAAUGUUUAUAUCACUGAUUUAAUUAUUAUUUCUUCCUCUAUUUGUUCAACAUAAUACUGAUUUUUAAAAGUAUCCUUUUAAGGUUCUUACCUAUAGAUUUAUCCACAUUGUCAAGCAUAUUUAGAAGAACCAGGA
rnacentral:lncRNA from 10 species